UUAUCAUCAAAUUCUAAAAUUUUAUAUCAAGUUCAAAUUGCAUUUAUUUCUCAAAGAGAUAUAUAUUCAAGGUAGUUUGUUAGUUUCUGAGUAACUCUCUCUUUUUGUGAGCUAAAUAAGCUACACUCAUUUUUUUAAUUCAUUUAUAUACUCAAGAUAUUUAGUAGGCCCUGUGUGAUAUAUCUAUGUAUCUGCACCCUAGAAGUCUGGCUUCAUAAUGCUGAAUAUGGCUAAUAUUAUUUAUGAUAAAUCAUUUUACUUUUUUCUUGCUAAAAGCCGUGAAAUAAGAUAGAGCAUUUAACAUUUUAUAUGCAUAAUAUGUUUUGUUCUGCAAGUACAAAUUACUCUCUUUGAAUCAUGUUACAUAGUUUUAAAAACCCUAACAGACUCUUAAGCAGUAAGAUAUUUCUAUAGUUUCCCAAAGCUAAAAAGGUUUAUAAGAGUCAAAGGCUACGUUUUUUUUUCCAUGAUAUUUUAAUCUUACAUUUGCAGGAAUGGUGUAGCUCAUUCUCAAGAUAAACAUUUAAAUUUUUCAUACAAAAUGUUGAGUACUUGAGCCUUUCCAAAUCUAACUAACCUGACUCAUAUUUCUUUUCCUAUGGAAGAAGGGAGGACAUUGUUUUAUUGAUAAUAGGUCUUUCAUAUUGAUUUAUUUGAGGUUUUCUCUUGGGGUGGCUAGAAUAAUGGCAUUAUAUACUUGGCCUCAUUACAAGAUAUCUGGUACCAUGCUCGCCAAUACUUAAGUGUUCUCCCAUUUUUUUUUGCCAAGGCUUUAACCAUGCUUGCUAAGAUAAUUUCAUAUCCACUGUGGCACUUCUCUUGUUUGCUGCUCGAAAUAAGGCAUUCCAUCUGCUUGGCUAGACUCCUUCCUGUGAGUACUUCUAAGUAAAUUUUAGAUUAUCUGUACUGCCCUGGAGGAUAUUUCCCUAUUUAAACCUUGGUUGAGCCACUGUUUUUGAAAGUCAUUUUCAUAACCUGUCUUUUAUCAAAAAAGUAGAAGCAGUGGAAAGUAGAAGAUUACCCUAUAUGUAUAACUCUGGAAUAAAUUUACAGGGGUGUAUUAAGGAAUAGGCUAUAGUGCCAGGCUGUCAAGUUGAAGACCCAACAUCACCACUUUUUAGCAGGAUGACUUUGGGGAAAUUGCAUAAAUGUUUUGUAUUUCAGUUUUCAUUAUCUGUAAAAGAGAUGGAUAGUAAUAAUACCUGAAAAGAUCAAACAUACCUAAUACCUGCAUACAUACAAUAAAAUCUCAAUAACUUUUGAUAAUAUUAUUAUUGCCAGGGAUAUUAUGCAAAAUAUUUAGCAACUGCUAUAGACAGGCAUUUGCUUGCUAGAUAUCCAAGUUCACUGCCAAAGGCACCAUCUCAUCCUUUAAGGUCCAUACCUGUUCAUUGGGAGGAAAUUUGGGGUGAGGGAUGAAAUGCAUGAGUCACAGUGAGAGCCCAGGUCCCAUGGUGGCUGCAGAGUGGAUUAUACCAGCUGAGUGGGGACCAUGGUUGAAGCUAGGGAAGCCUUCUGUGCACCUUGAGGAAACAGAGAAGUGCAUUGAAGGCAAGAGUUUAGGGAGGUACCGACUUAAACAGGUACUUACCAAUCAGAAUGUAUCCAGACCAUGGUUCUGGAUCCUGGAAGCUCCUUACUAUACCUUGAUGUACUGUAUUGAGAGGAUUUCUAAUUGGAUUGAGAGGAUGUCUAGGAUUAAAGUAGUACCUAUUUACCAGUCUGACUAUACUUCAAUAUGUAUAUUAUAUAUGUCCUGAUAUUUCCAAAGUGAUACUUAUUAACUAUUUCAAAACAGACUUUGGGUAUCUAAGUCUAGAAUGAAAAUCAGAUACAUAAUAUGAGCAACUCUUAACAAUAUAUUAGUCUUUAGUAAUUUGUUACCUGGAAUCUCAAAUUCCAUUUGGAUGUAUAUGCUUUGAAUCCUUUUUUUCCCCAAAGUAAUAUAGUGAUCCUACAAUGCACUGUGUGGAUAGAACAUUUCUUUUUAAAUAUCAAAGCAACUGUGCUUAAUCUUGAAGAGAAUGAUGUGAUAUUCAACUCAGAUGCAUUCAUUUUGUUAAACAGUACUAAGACUUACACAAACUCAGAAUAAGCCUUCAUACAUAAUCUUUGGCAGUGAUAAGAGAUGAUCUAGGAACAAAAACUCUGAAUGAAAAUGCAUUGUUUUCUGCUUCAAUGCAUUUGUGCCCUGGGAUAACCAGAAAUAAUUAUUGAAACAAGUCUCUUGUUAAUAAUAAUUACACUCCAUUCUAUGAAAACAAGAACAAACAGCAAUUAUCUAUAAUUUCUCAUUUGCAAAACACUCUCAUUAUGCUAAGACUUCUUGUCUGUGUUUGAUAAUAUUAUGUGUGUUGGAAAAAGUCUACAGGUUUUUAUUUUUAAUGUUUCAAAUUAUACUGGUCAAUGUGUGGCUGAUAAAAUUCAGGCUUAAAUGAUUUCUGUUUUAAGCAAAACAGCUUCUUUGAGCACCAUAAGUUAUCCUUCUUAUUAUCAUAAGAAAUCAUGUCUUUUGACUUCCUUCAAAGAAGAUGGGUUCAUUAGCCAAAACAAAUACACAUUUUUCCUAUAUCGGCAAAAAUUAAAUUAGGAAAAGAGAAACAGAAAUCAGCCAGACUGUCAUUACAAAUAGGUUCUUAAGGAAAUAUAUAUGAAACGUAAUAGAUAUAAAAUGAGAAAGUAAUUCCAUUUUGAUACCUUUUUACAUAAUAAUGUGUUAUAUUACAUUCCUACUUUGAAUAAUCCUUAGUUCGUAGUCUCAGUAAUUAUGUGCUUAAUCUGAAUAUAACAAUUUUGUGUAUUCCUCUAAUUUUUUCUCGUGCAUUGUUGCAUGUAUUUUGAUAGAUUAUAAGCUCUUUGAGGGAAGGAAUAAUUUAAUUUCCCUUUGUGUUAUUUCUCUGCUAUAUCAUUCAAAUUGAUGAUUUGCAUAACAGUUUUGAAUUUUUAUAGCAUGAGUGACUGCUUAUCAUCUGGCUCAAAGGGUUAAUAAUUUUCCUAUAGUGAGCAUUAAUUUCUUCAUCUAUUAAGACAGAGAUUAUAAUAAUACCUAAUUCUCAUGGUUUCUCAAAGUUUCAAAAGAAAUCAUGCAUAUGAAACAUUUAGCACAGUGUCUGUCUCAAAAUUAAGCUCUCACUCAGUACAUGCCUCGGCUUUACUAUCGUAAAACUAUAGAGCUGAACCUAAGUCACAUUCACUAAUUUUUUUUUUCAGAAAGGCAAAAUUUAGUUAAUUCUAUUUGAUCCAGUCUGAGGCUACUAGGACUACUAACAUUCCUUUAACAAGCUGUGGUUGUCUAAGUAGCACUAAAUAAAUAGACACAGUGCCAGUUUGAGAGUGACUUCAGAUUUGAGCAAAUGGAACCAAAAUAUACUACUGGAAAUAUGAGUCAAGAUUUCUAUCUUAUAGAGCUAUAUUAUUUAUCUAUAGAAUGAUGUGCAUUUUGGACUAUUUUGCAUAGACCCACAUAAUGUUAAUAUUAAGUUUUUUUAUCUUUCAAACUAAAAAAGUGUAUAUUUAAGUCAUGAAUGGAUCAUAGUUGUUCUUUUUCUGAAGUUUGGUUCCAAGAGCCAAAUAAGCUUAGGGAAUUUUACAACUGGUCACAAUAAUUUUAAGAAAUGUUGGCAUGCUAUUCACUUCAAAGGUGAGGUACUAUCUAAAAGAAUUCCAACUAAUCUAUUUAGUCCUUACUCAAUUAAUGAAAAACAAAAUGUCUUUUAAAUUAUUUUUAUAAAAAUUUUCUAAGGGAAAAUGAAAUUUUAAAUUGAUACUAUAUCAGUGUUACUUCUUGCUUGUAUUUUUGGAAAGUUUAAUGCUAUGGAAAAAUUUUUAUAAUUCCCCAAAAGGUAAGAUUAUUCUAAUAAUACUUUAAACUGCAUCUAUCUAGAAUAUAAAUAUCAGGUGCCCAUAAACAGCCAGGGUUGGUUCCAUUACACUAAAAUCUUUCUAAUCAAAUGGUUAAUGGGAACUGCAUUAAAUUGUAGAAUACUUUAAAGAAAACUCAAAUAUCUUCCUUUCAAAUAUAAGCAGUAGAUCAAAAUAGCAGUUAAAAGAGCAAUUAUGUGAUUAGUCAACUUAAAGAAUGAUUUGAAUACUACAUGUGUUCAAAUUAAUUAUAAUCAAUUACCUUAAAUAAGUUACCCUCAGCUGUUUAUAGGAAUCAUUUGGCCAAAUUUGCAUUCAUAUUAAAGUAGAUAAUCAACUAUAAUCAACUCUAUUUUCACAUAUCUUCAAUUUAUAGAAAUGGUAUUAUUGACCUAAUACAAUAAAACAGUCAGUUAUUUACCAGAAAGAAAAAUGGUUUUUUAGAAACAGCAGAGAAUUGCAACUUGGGACAUAGAAUCUAUAGCAAACUACAGAUAAAUCUGGAGAAGAAAGGAAAGAAUCAUUCGUCUCUAGAGGAAAAGGGAGAGUUGGAAGUGGCUGUUAUAAGCAGAAUCCACUGGAGGAAACUGGAGGUUGAAGUGUAAUGGUUUUUAAUUGGCGAAGUUAUGAUAGCCUCUCAUUGCCUGGACUCCUGCCAGGCAAAGAGUAAUUCUUCCUUCCUCUUGCUGGUGGUAAAGUAGUAACCUUUUCCCUCUUAGAGAUCCAAAGAUACCUCUCUUCCUGUAUAUAGGAGAAUCAACAUGAAGUGUAGGGUGAGAAAUCUCCCCCUUUUGACCUCUCAACUCUUAUUUAUUUAUUUAUUUAUUUAUUUAUUUAAUUUUGUCUUUUUAGGGCUGCACCUGUGGCAUAUGGAAGUUCCCAGGCUAGCAGUCGAAUUGGAGCUGCAGCUGCUGGCUUACACCACAGCCACAGCAACACCAGAUCCAAGCCACAUCUGUAACCUACACCAUAGCACACGGCAACACUAGAUCCUUAACCCACUGAGUGAUGCCAGAGAUUGAACCUGCAUCCUCAUGGAUACUAGGGCUCAUUACCACUGAGCCAUGAUGGGACCUCCUCAACUGUAUUUUAAAUGAGGUUUCUGUUAUUAAUUUUCACAGUGUGUAAACUUUUGUAAAUUUGGGACUUAGUGCUCUUACAGAAAAAAAAAAGUCAUCAAAAUUGUUGUCCAUUUAAAAACACUAAUUUUAUGCAGCCAAUACCUUUUUAAAGC
rnacentral:lncRNA from 1 species